rnacentral:rRNA from 1 species
UACGAAGGGGGCGAGCGUUGUUCGGAUUUACUGGGCGUAAAGGGCGCGCAGGCGGCUCAUUUUGUCAGGCGUGAAAGCCCCGGGCUUAACCUGGGAACUGCGUUUGAGACGGAUGGGCUAGAGUUCGGGGAGAGGAGAGUGGAACUCCUAGUGUAGAGGUGGAAUUCGUAGAUAUUAGGAAGAACACCAGUGGCGAAGGGCGGCUCA